rnacentral:lncRNA from 1 species
UAGCAUAUAAAGCAAAAAGAGUUUAACUAUUUCAUAUCCUUACAGUCAGCACUAAUGAUUAUAAACCUUAUUUAAGCAUAAAAUACAUAUGAACAAGAAAAGUUAACUACUUCAUAUUCUUACAUGGUAAUUUCCCAUUCCUAGGACAAAUCUUUCAAACACUUAUUCACACUCACAACCAGACUUAACUAAUGACAAUUAGAGGGUGGACAAGGUAAACCUGAAACUCUGUGCACACUAUCGUAGUAUAUUCACUUAUAUACUAAAUUCUCUGUCUAUAUCACUUUAUAGACUUCCUUUUAUCUGUCUAAUUCUCUUAUUAGACCUUCUCUAGUUCACUUACUAGAAAUACAUAUAUCUCUCUGUCUAGUUCCCUUACUAGACUAAUGUAACGGGACCUUAUGUAAAACUGAGUAACAGAAAACACAUAUACUAAAUAACCUUUCCUAAAAUGAUGUAGACUUACAAAACCAUGGGGAUCAUAGAUUCAGGGCGUCAAGAUAGACACAAGGAAUUACUACUCACCCAAAAUGGUUUUGGCUACAAUCCCACUUUCUGACACCAAGCUGAAAGGUAAAUCUGCUAAUCUGGUGACUCGGUCCCUCUGGUCACUAUUCUCCAACCCUCGAUUGUCAGCUGAAUAUUCAGGGAAGAUUUUUAUGGAAGCGUAUUAACCAGACACACACUCUUUGCUUUCCAUAAUCUUCUGACAAUGUAUUCAAAAUGCUCUGUAUUUAUACAAUAUUUGUCACGAAUAUUGGUUACAAAAGGUUACAAAAAGGUUACAAAAAGGUUACAAAAAGGUUACACAAGAUACAUAAAAGAGGAAGCAGUUUCUGCUGUUACAUUCAAUAAUCUAAUCUUACAAAAUAUUACAUAUACAUUGUGGUUAGGCAUUUCCUGAUACAUAGAAACUGUCAUAGCUUGUGACUUCCUUUCAGUUAUGUUUUGCAAGCAGUUCUGAAAUACUGACAGAUUAAUUGUUUAACCC